CGCGCAGGCGGUUUUCCAAGUCAGUGGUGAAAGCCCAGAGCUCAACUCUGGAACUGCCAUUGAGACUGUUAAACUAGAGGACGAGAGAGGUGAGUGGAAUUCCCAGUGUAGAGGUGAAAUUCGUAGAUAUUGGGAAGAACACCGGUGGCGAAGGCGGCUCACUGGCUCGUUUCUGACGCUCAGGCGCGAUAGCGUGGGGAUCAAACA
rnacentral:rRNA from 1 species